GACGAACGCUGGCGGCGUGCCUAAUACAUGCAAGUAGAACGCUGAAGGAGGAGCUUGCUUCUCUGGAUGAGUUGCGAACGGGUGAGUAACGCGUAGGUAACCUGCCUGGUAGCGGGCGAUAACUAUUGGAAACGAUAGCUAAUACCGCAUAACAGUAGAUAUCGCAUGAUAUCUACUUGAAAGGUGCAAUUGUAUUACUACCAGAUGGACCUGCUUUGUAUUAGCUAGUUGGUGUGGUAACGGCUCACCACGGCGACGAUACAUAGCCGACCUGGGAGGGGGGGCGGCCACACAGGGACUGAGACACGGCCCAGACUCCUCCGGGAGGCAGCAGUGGGGAAUCUUCGGCAGUGGACGGAAGUCUGACCGAGCGAAGCCGCGUGAGUGAAGAGGGUGUUCGGAUCGUGAAGCUCUGUUGUAAGGGAAGAACGGGUGUGAGGGUGGAAAGGUGACACGGUGGACGUUACUUACAAGAAAGGGACGGCUAAACUCGUGC
rnacentral:rRNA from 1 species